CCAGGCAUACCACAGAACUGAACAAAAUAAAGCCCUCCAGCCAUGGGGCUUAAAGUGGAUUUUUGAGGUCAAGUCCAUAAUUCCUGCAUUUGCUUUACCAGAUGCAGCUAAUAAACUAGAGGGCAAAGCCCAGUGCCACUGGGCAUAAAUUUAAUCCUGCUCAACUGCCCUUUGGGGGAGAUAGGGUUGGGGUCUGAGCUUGGGACUUGUCAGGCCAAAGUGAGUAGGAAGGGAGUGGUAGAACUGGAGACAUGGGCAGGAGAUGGGUUGAUGGGGUGGAGAGGGUGAUUCUGGUAAUGCUUGUUGGAGCAGAAGGAGGAGGCAUUCAGAUGCCUGCUGACAGCAGGGCAGAGGCAGGGCUCUGCUGUUCAGUUAGAUCCACCGAAGUGGACUAGAAGCCAACACAGGGCUGUGUCUGCAGGGGGACCCAUGGGGCCCUCCAGCUAAUGAAGCCCUGUAUCAGUCCAGUAUCCCCCUCCCACAAGCCCUCAGAGACAUAGUCUGUCUUCCUUCCUGGGCCUGAGCUGGACCUCUCAGGAUAAGCCAGUGGCUACAAGUUUAUGCAUGCACCUAUUUUAAUACGUGUAUUUUUUGAACAUGUAGUCUGAAUUCUGAGUACUUACAAAGUAUAACAAGCCUUCUUGACUAAUAUACUGUCACAGAUUGACAAAAAUUUAUCAUGAGAUAAGGAAAAUACACGAGCUAAUAUUUUAUUUCAAAAACUUUGGAUUUACCUCUUGCACCUCACUUUGCUAGCCUCUGUUCCCAAGGGUCAUGUUUUGGCUGUGUGAAGUUAGGGCAACUUCCUUAACCUCACCAGGCUUCUGUUUUCUCAUUUGUGAAACAUACUUGAGAAUUAGAAUUCAACCUCUCUAGCUUCCCUGGUUUGCUAUGCUGAAAGUAGAAACAAGUCCUUUUCAUUGGAAAGAUUUUAGGCAAGCGAUAGUUAGGGGCCACCUAUGAUAUCAAACACGGGGAAGUUCAGGGGUUGGAAACCAUGUUUUUUCACAGUAAUUACACUGGGUUUGGAAUUCCUGACUUCCUCUCUUGAGUCGUUCUUAGAAGCCUAUUAGAGCUAAACUCCCCCACCUAAACCUAUACUAAUACAAAUAACUGGUAAUAUGUACUGUGCGCUACACACUUUUCUAAGCACUUCACGCAGUAAUAGUAUCUCGUUCCUCCCAACCACGCAGUUAGGUGCCAUUCUCCCCAUUUUGUUAAAUGACUUGCCCAAGGUCCUACAGCUAGGAAGUCAACGGAGCCCCGACUCCAUACUCUGCCCCUCCAGGGCCCCUGUCCUUGACACUGGUGCUUUUGAAGUUGCCUUGGGCAGAGAUCUUGUUCGGGUCGUGGUGGUGGCCUCGUGCUGGUGCACCACCUGUUGAAAAAGCAGAUGGAUAGACGCACGCAAAACCAUCGUUGCGUUGGCGGAGGGACGCCGGACGUGGCUGCGCCCCUCGUCACCCCGCGGACGCGCUCUCGUGUCACCCCAGGCCGGUCUCACAGCUCUUCACCACUUCCGGUCCCGGCCCCGCCUCCUCAAGGCCGCUCCGUGCGUUUUGCGUUCAAGAAUUUUGUCCCCAGCGCCGAGCCGUCUCUCCGCCCCCGCCGCUGCCAUGGCGGCAGCUCCGCCGGUCUCCAAGGCCGAGUACCUGAAGCGUUAUUUGUCUGGGGCAGGUGCCGGCGUCGAUGGGGCCUCUGAGUCGGGUCGCAGGCGUCGCAGAAAGCGGCCGAAGCCUGGCGGGGCCGGCGGCAAGGGAAUGCGGAUCGUGGAUGAUGAUGUGAGCUGGACAUCUAUUUCCACCACUAAACCGGAAAAGGAGGAAGAGGAAGAUGAUGGAGAUUUGCCUGUGGUGGCUGAGUUUGUGGAUGAGCGGCCAGAAGAGGUCAAGCAGAUGGAAGCCUUUCGUUCCAGUGCCAAAUGGAAGCUUCUAGGAGGUCACAGUGAAGAUCUGCCCUCACACAGACACUUCCGUCGUGACUCCCUGGAUUCAUCUCCCCCAAGGAGGGUCCGUCACGACACCCCGGACCCAUCUCCCCCAAGGAGGGUCCGUCACGACACCCCGGACCCAUCUCCCCCGAGGAGGGUCCGUCACGACACCCCGGACCCAUCUCCCCCGAGGAGGGUCCGUCACGACACCCCGGACCCAUCUCCCCCGAGGAGGGUCCGUCACGACACCCCGGACCCAUCUGCCCCGAGGAGGGUCCGUCACGACACCCCGGACCCAUCUCCCCCCAGGAGGGUCCGUCACGACACCCCGGACCCAUCUCCCCCCAGGAGGGUCCGUCACGACACCCCGGACCCAUCUCCCCCCAGGAGGGUCCGUCACGACACCCCGGACCCAUCUCCCCCCAGGAGGGUCCGUCAUACUUCUCUGGAUCCUUCUCCCCUCAGGAAGCCUCAUCGUCAUUCUUCAGGCAUGUCUCCUAGGAGAACCCAUCAUGACACACCAGAUUCAUCUCUUCCUAGGAGGGCCUGUCACAAUUCCUCAGAUAGCUCUGUUCCCAGAAGGGCUCAAAAUAGCUCACCUGACACAUCUCAACCUAGAAGGACUCAUGACUCCUUGGACACAUCACAGCUCAGGAGGGCCCAUCAUAACUCCCCUGAUUUGGCUGCUAGUGUCCCUCAUUCACUGCCCAGACCCAAAAGCAGUAAAGGCCCAGAGAGAGCUUCUAGGAAAACUUCUCCACAUUCGAAGGGGCCGGGACCAUCUCACACAUCAAUCCCAAAGAACAGCAAAUAUGAGUAUGACUCAGACCGCUCUCCUCCACGAAAAAAGCGAGCAAAAUCCCAUAAGCAUGAUUCUAAAGACUCUUCCCCCAGCCAUAGGAAAUUUCAUACAAACUCUUCGCCUAGGAGAUAUCAGAGUCACAUGUUGGACUCUUCCUCCUACCCAGAUGAUAGUCGGAAAGCCUCUGAUUCAGAUCUUUCUCCUCCACGGCAAAAGCAGAAUUCAGGGCACAAAAAUUCUGAUUCAGAUCUGUCACCUCCACGGAAUAGACCUACAUACCAGAGCUCUGAUUCUGACCUAUCUCCACCAAGGAGGAAACAGAGGGCCAAAUCUUCUGAUUCCGAUCUGUCUCCACCUCGAAGGAGUCAGCCUCUAGGAAAGAAGGCUGCUCACAUGUAUUCUGGGGCAAGAACUGGGUUGGUGUUAACUGACAUACAGCGAGAGCAGCAAGAGCUCAAGAAACGGGACCAAGAAACUACGGCGUUUGAAGCUGAAUUCCAAUAUGCUGAAACUGUAUUUCGAGAUAAGUCUGGUCGUAAGAGGAAUUUGAAACUGGAACGUUUAGAGCAAAGGAGAAAAGCAGAGAAGGACUCGGAGAGAGAGGAGCUGUAUGCUCAGUGGGGAAAAGGGCUUGCCCAGAGCCGGCAGCAGCAACAAAAUGUGGAGGAUGCAGUGAAGGAAAUGCAAAAGCCUCUGGCGCGCUACAUUGAUGAUGAAGAUCUGGAUCGGAUGCUGCGAGAACAGGAAAGAGAGGGGGACCCCAUGGCCAACUUUAUCAAGAAGAAUAAGGCUAAGGAGAACAAGAAUAAGAAAGUGAGACCUCGCUACAGUGGUCCUGCCCCUCCUCCCAACAGAUUCAAUAUCUGGCCUGGAUAUCGCUGGGAUGGAGUUGACAGCCUCUCCGGAGCCUUCCUGGAUGUCUGAUUGGCACUUGGUGACAGCCCAUGCAGUCCCAUCACACUGCCAGGUAGGUAGGUAAUGACUGGUUUGCAGGUCCCGGCUGAUCUGCCCUGAAUCCUGAGCCCAGCUGCCCUUUUGGCUCACCUGCUCCUGACACAUGAUCAUUUCUGGCCUGGCUUGAGAGUGGCCCGCCCUGCCUGCCCCCCCUGGUUCUGGGCCAUCUCAGGACUCUGUGUGGUUUGGAAUUGUUCUUGCCCUCUCACCACCUCACCAUAUGCCCUCUCUCCUGGUCCCUGGCAGCCAGGUCCAGGCUGGACGUUCCCUCUGUUCCUCACAUCUGGGAUCCAGUGCUCGAUAGGACAGUGCCUGGCGACACUUUCAUUUCAUCUGUAACUCAGCAGGUUUCUGUUGACCCCUACUGUGUACCCUGAACUGUGCUGGACACAGUGGGAGAUAGAAGGGAAAUGAUAGAUGUGGGUCUUGCCAUCACUUGGGAAGGUUGUCGACGAGGGACAGAACCUAACAUGGAGAGCAUAUACUGAGCCCCCAGCGGGUGAGGAAGAGAGAGCAGGGCAGCGAGGCUUCUCAGGCUGGAGGUUCAGGGAGUCUUCGUGGAGGGGGAGAGCUCAGGUUCAGGUGGGCAGAAGGAGGGAACAGGAGAGACAAUUCCAGAUGAGGACAUAGUGUGAGUAAAGACCCAGAGGUGGGAAUGCUCAGAGCACUUUUGGAGGACGUGAAGGUGGCCACUGUGUUGUAAGUGGGGGGCUUUCUGUGGGAUACGAGCUAUAAUGGUAAGUUGGAGGCUCUUUCAGAUGUCAUGCUGAAGGUUUGGGACAUACGUGCUGUCUGGUUGGGGGUUCUGAAAGGUGUGGGGGUGCAGGGAUGAUCUUACAGCAGUGAUUUGCUAGGUGGACAAUGGUGGGCUGUGUUAGUUUCCAUCGCUACUGUAACAGAUUACCACAAAAUUAGUGGCUUAAAAGAACACAGAUUUAUUAUCUCACAGUUCUGCAGGCCAGAAAUGCAGGUUGAUUUGACGAUUUUCUCUGCUCUGGGUUUAUACAAGACUGAAAUCAAGAUGUUGGCUGGUUGGACUCCUCUGGGGAGGCUGUGGGAAGGAUCCACUUCCAGGCUCAUUCAGGUGGUUGGCAGAAUGCUAUUCCUUGUGGUUGUAGGACCGAGACCCCCGUUCCAUUGCUGGCUGUAAACUGGGGCUGCCCUUUUCUCCUAGGGGCUGCUCCCCAGUUCUUGCACACAGGCCCCUAUCUCAGGGCCGGUGACAGUGUAGGAAAUCCUUUUUUGCUCUUGGAAGCUCUCUGACCUCCCUUUCUGCUGCACCUCUCCCACGAUUUUCUCUGCAUCUCUCUGACCUCAGCUAGAGAAAGUUCUCUGCUUCUAAGGGCUCAUUCGAUCAGAUGGGAGUCACCUGGGUAAUCCAAGAUACUCUAUCUUAAGGUCCAUAUCUUUAAUUUUCAACAUCUGCAGUCCCAUGUUCAACAUAUUCCCAGGCUCCAGGGAUUAGGGCAGGGAUAUUCUGGGGGAGAGGCAUUCUUCUGCCUACUAUACAGGACCAGAUAGCUUAGGUGGUUCCUACAACAGUCCUGGUGAGCGGAAACGAGGGCAAGAACUUGAGAUACGAGCACCAAAAGGUUGGGCAGGUGCCAAGUCAUUUCAAGGGCAGUGACCGGAUACUUGAUGACUGGUUGCAUGUGUGUGGCUUUGAGGGUGUGGUUAAGGAGAGGGGAGGAUUAAUCUUGGAUCCAGCCUCGGAAACAAGAGAAAGAUGGUGACUCACCGGUCACUCUCGGAGGAGGUGCUGGUUGUGGAGGGCAGAUGAAGCACUUGUUUCGGGCAGGAUGACUAACGGGUGAUGGCAGAAUUCUCACCAGCCCGAAACUGACUUCUGAGUGGUUGGGAACCCUCAACAGAAAAGUCAGAUCUGGUCGUACUAACCUGUGAGCUAUUCACGUGGAAGCAGUGGUUGAAGGCUUGGGGCGGGGAUGGGGAGUGGGGUGUGGAUCGCUGUGAACAGGGGAGGUAGGGCAGAAAGGAAAUUGGGCUAGAACGUCCGCGGCUGACCAAAGAAGAGGUGGGAGGAGGAAGAAGAGCUAGAGAGAGUGAAGAGCAAGCACAACCAGGCAACUGGAAAGGAAGGAGGGGAGCGAGGAGAGGUCCCAUUUGUGAGGCCAGGCAACACCUGUGGGCAGGGUCAGGAAGGACAGAGGUCUGGUGCCGGAGUGGGACAGAAGCCACCAGGGGGUGAUGGCAUGGCCACGGGUGAUGGGGACCUGCGUUUCCAAGUGAGGAGGCUGAGGAGAGACAGGGCAGCGUGGUGGGAGGGAGCGGGAACACACAAUGGGCUCAGUAGGGCCCACAGGUGCUGUGUGUCGGUAUGCGGGGAGGGAUGGGAAAGGCCAGCGUGCUUGGAAACAGAGCAGGGGAGGAGACUGGUACUGCUGGGAGGAGGGGGAGGAAUAUGAUUCGGGAGCAAGGGCUCCCAGGUGGCAGGGGCUCAUGAGGGUGAGAAUGGAACUGGAAGCUUUCAGGAGGAGAGGCCACAGGUGGGUCCAUCAACACGUGUGGGUAGGGCAGAGCUCACCUGGGGCCCACUGGCCCCACUGUGUGCUGGGGGUCUGCACGCAGGACAGAGGGGAGGCCAGGGCCUGGUACCUGCUAGGACUGGCGGGGCAGGGGCCCAUGGCCCUCUUAGAACAGAAGCCUUCGGGGGUGGAUGCUGGGUCUGCGGGAGGGGACAGAGGACAGGACCAGGCAGAGCAGCAGAUGUAGCCACAGGUUCUUCCUAUCCCACACCUAUUUGCUAUCUCCUGCUUAUCAUGGGGGGCCCGGGGCUUUGCAGCACAAAAGGUCCUGGCUGAAAGGAGUUAAUUUACUCAAGGAGGUUUGGGAAGAGGAGGCACAAAGAUGUCUCUCAAAGGGCAAAAGGCCCUUUGGGAGCAGGAGAGCACUGUUUCCAGGGCUCUGGCUCCAUCGGUGUGUGGUCAACUACAUGGCCUUCCACGUGCCCAGUGUUCUUGUGAGUCCAGCCUCCCUGCUACUUCUGACAUUUCACAGGCCUUUGUCUGAGGCCUAAUUGCCUGCCACAGCGCACUGCCCCAAGACCCCGCCAGCCAUUUUGCCGGCUGGUCUGCCGGGCUGCUCAGAGCCGCCGGAAGCCGUCUGGCAUCGACAGGCAGGCCCAGAAUAAAGCUGCAUCCACAGUGGAGUUUCCAUUGCGCUAAUCCAUCACCGUGGAGCAGGCAAGAUUAUGCUUCCCCAAAAAAACUCUGGGAGAUAAAUAUGAGAGGAUCAGUACUGCUGUGGGCUCUGUGAGUGUGGAUUUGGAGAGGGACCCAAGAUGCCUGCGAAGAGGCAAUGAUGGCAGAGCUGAUGAAGCUCCUACAGUCAGGAGAGAGACACAUGACAUACCUCGGGCACUUAGUGUGGCUCACCCUCCAGAGCACUCAACUGAUGUCCCACCUGUUCUGGGAAGACCCUACUCGGGCCCAGCCUCUAGCAGGUCCUGCCCACAGCUGGCCUGCUGGUCCUUCAUAUAAAGGGGAGCCAUGUUCUGCACCUGGAGCCAGAGUGAAUCAGUGAGCGAGGAGGAUUGUCCAGAAGGAUCCGGAUGAGGACCCCUGCCUCCUCUUUGUUGUCCCCACCUUGAUGCCAUGUGCUGGUUCUGAUGACUUUGGCUGUGCACCUGAAUUCUUGUUCUGGCAGCGGGCUCAAAGCCCUGUCCUGUGUGCCCACCAAUCUCCAUUCUGGGAUUCAGUCAAAUUCCAGUCCUUAAACGUGAGCCUUCCAAGGAUUACUCUAAGUCUUCUUGGAACUCACCCCAGACUGAGACUGGAGAGAGUGGUGUUCCCUGGUACCUGCUUGUUCACCAGACUGAGCCUCAAAAGUCAUUGCCCUCAGCCGGGUCAGUUCCUGCAGCACCUAGGCCACCCCAGGGGCAG